rnacentral:rRNA from 1 species
CAAGUCGAGGGGUAUAGGUUUUCGGACCUAGAGACCGGCGCACGGGUGCGUAACGCGUAUGCAAUCUACCUUUUACAGAGGGAUAGCCCAGAGAAAUUUGGAUUAAUACCUCAUAGUAUUAUUGAAUGGCAUCAUUUAAUAAUUAAAGUCACAACGGUAAAAGAUGAGCAUGCGUCCCAUUAGCUUGUUGGUAAGGUAACGGCUUACCAAGGCAACGAUGGGUAGGGGUCCUGAGAGGGAAAUCCCCCACACUGGUACUGAGACACGGACCAGACUCCUACGGGAGGCAGCAGUGAGGAAUAUUGGUCAAUGGGCGCAAGCCUGAACCAGCCAUGCCGCGUGCAGGAUGAAGCAUCUAUGGUGUGUAAACUGCUUUUGUACGAGAAGAAACACUCCUUCGUGAAGGAGCUUGACGGUAUCGUAAGAAUAAGGACCGGCUAACUCCGUGCCAGCAGCCGCGGUAAUACGGAGGGUCCAAGCGUUAUCCGGAAUCAUUGGGUUUAAAGGGUCCGUAGGCGGUUUUGUAAGUCAGUGGUGAAAGCCCAUCGCUCAACGGUGGAACGGCCAUUGAUACUGCAAGACUUGAAUUAUUGGGAAGUAACUAGAAUAUGUAGUGUAGCGGUGAAAUGCUUAGAGAUUACAUGGAAUACCAAUUGCGAAGGCAGGUUACUACCAAUAUAUUGACGCUGAUGGACGAAAGCGUGGGGAGCGAACAGGAUUAGAUACCCUGGUAGUCCACGCCGUAAACGAUGGAUACUAGCUGUUCGGAGCAAUCUGAGUGGCUAAGCGAAAGUGAUAAGUAUCCCACCUGGGGAGUACGUUCGCAAGAAUGAAACUCAAAGGAAUUGACGGGGGCCCGCACAAGCGGUGGAGCAUGUGGUU